CUGGGAUGUGAUGGGGAGCGAAAUUUAGUAGCGAAGUAGCUGAUUUCACACUGUCAAGAAAAGUCUCUAUCGAGGUUAAAGGUACCCGUACCGCAAACCGACGCAGGUGGGUGAGGAGAGUAUCCUAAGGCCAGCGAGAGAACUGUUGUUAAGGAACUCGGCAAAAUGACCCCGUAACUUAGGGAUAAGGGGUGCCACCAUCAGG
rnacentral:rRNA from 1 species